UACGAAGGGGGCUAGCGUUGCUCGGAAUCACUGGGCGUAAAGGGCGCGUAGGCGGCCAUUCAAGUCAGAGGUGAAAGCCCAAGGCUCAACCUUGGAACUGCCUUUGAUACUGUUUGGCUUGAGACCGGUAGAGGUAAGUGGAACUGCGAGUGUAGAGGUGAAAUUCGUAGAUAUUCGCAAGAACACCAGUGGCGAAGGCGGCUUACUGGACCGGUUCUGGACGCUGAGGCGCGGAAAAGCGUGGGGAGCAAACAGGG
rnacentral:rRNA from 1 species